GAUGAACGCUGGCGGCGUGCUUAAUACAUGCAAGUCGAGCGAACAGACGCGGAGCUUGUUCCUCUGUCGUUAGCGGCGGACGGGUGUGUAACACGUGGAUAACCCCCUUAUCUGUCUGGGAUAACCUCGGGACACCGGCUAUAAUACCAGAUAAUAUACUGCACCGCAUGGGUGAUUAGAGAAUGUCGGCUUUGCUGUCUCUUAUAGAUGGUUCUGCGCCGGAUUAGGUAGUUGGUAAGGUAACGGCUUAUCAAGGGGACGUUGCGUAGCCGACCGGCGGGGGUGAGCGGCCGCCCUGGAACUGAGACCCGGUCCAGUCUCCUACGGGAGGCAGCAAGAGGGAAACUUGCGGAAUGGGCGGAGGCCUGACGGAACAACGCGGCGUGAGUGAUGAAGAACUUCGGGUCGUAAAACUCUGUUAUUGGGGAAGAACAAAUGUGUACGUGACUAGGCGCGUCUGGACGGUACCUAAGCAGAGAACCACGGCUAACUACGUG
rnacentral:rRNA from 1 species